rnacentral:rRNA from 1 species
GGCGACCGCUAUUGGAGUUCGAUUAAGACAUGCGAGUCAGAGCACUAGCUCGGCAUACCGCUCAGUAACACGUGGGUAACCUGCCCUAUUGUUUCGAAUAACCUCGGGAAACUGAGAACAACACGAUAUAGUCCACUACGCCUGGAACGGUGAGUGGAUAAAGAUAGGAUGGGCCUGCGGCGUAUCAGGUCGUAGGGGGUGUAAAGGACCUCCUAGCCAUCGACGCGUACGGGUGUUGGGAGACAUAGCCCGGAGAUGGAUUCUGAGACACGAAUCCAGGCCCUACGGGGCGCAGCAGUUACGAAAACUUGGCAAUGCGGGAAACCGUGACCAGGGAACUCCAAGUGGCUGUCCUUUUGGGCAGUCUUUUCUUGACUCUAAAACGGUCUUGGAAUAAGGGGUGGGUAAGGACGGUGCCAGCCGCCGCGGUAAUACCGGCGCCUCAAGUGGUCGUCGCUUUUAUUGGGCCUAAAACGUCCGUAGCCGGUUUGGUACAUUCGUGGGUAAAUCAGCUCGCUCAACGAGCUGAAUUCUGCGAGCACGGCCAGACUAGGGACCGGGAGAGGUGUGGGGAACUCUCAGGGUAGGGGUAAAAUCCUGUCAUCCUGAGAGGACCACCUGUUGCGAAGGCGCCACACUAGAACGGAUCCGACGGUCAGGGACGAAGCCUAGGGGCACGAACCGGAUUAGAUACCCGGGUAGUCCUAGGUGUAAACGCUGUGGACUUGGUGUUGGGGGCGCUCCGAGCGCUCUCAGUGCCGUAGCGAAGGUGUUGAGUCCACUGCCUGGGGAGUACGGUCGCAAGGCUGAAACUUAAAGGAAUUGGCGGGGGAGCACCGCAACCUGAGGAUUGUGCGGUUU